AGAGUUCAUACUCUGAUGCUGCCAUAGACUGUGUCUCUGCUUCUCGGGCAAGUAAGCCAAGGCAGUGGCACCAUGGCAGUUUCCGGCAGAGCCUGAAGGGAGGUGGAAGGGACAGGACAGAACUUAGCUGGGGGACACACAAGGCAAUUGCACCUGACUCACUCCCAUGGAAGUUGUGUGGCAUGGUGUGUUGAAAAGCUGUGGAGGCAGGUUGUCCGAGUUCACCGUGUGUGACCUUGGCCAAGGUAGUAAUCCUUUCUAUGCCUCAGUCUCCCCAUCUGUACAAUGAGCAUAAGAAUAGGAUCUUUCUCACAAGAUUGUCUUGAGGAUUAAGUGAAUGAAUAUAUCCGCAACAAAGGCUACUAGUUACCCCCCACAAUACCCUUUUUCUCUUUCCAUAGUAAUGACUACCAAUUUUUAAUCACACAGCCUCUCAGAAUAAACACUACAAUUCCUAGGCUCCCUUGCAGCUAUGCAUGGGCCAUAUAACUAUGUCUGGCCAAUGUGAUAUAAGUGACCUCUGGCCAGGGGUCUGCCUGGAAUGUGGAUGUGAUACCUGGUAUCUAGCUGUCAUUUUGGACAUAAGGAUGAGGGCAACACCCUCAGGAUAGUACAGCUGUGAGCUGGAAGGUACCUUUGUCCCUGAAGCCUUCAUGAGCAAAGCCACCAUAUCAGUCCUUCACUGCCUACUUUUGCACUUUUACAUAAGAGAAAAAUAAAUAUUUUAGCCACUGUUAUUUGGGGCCAUUUCUACUCAUGGUUGAGCCUAAUCCUAGUCUAUAAAAUGUAUAAAACACUUGAAGUGAUAUCUGGCACAUAACAAGCAACUCAAUAUGUGUUGAAUAAAUGUUAUUAUUGUUAGUUAUUAGUGUGUGUUAAUUAAUGGAUUAUGUGAGGACAAAUUAUAGAAGGGCUUAAAAGAUCAGGAAGAGAAAUCUGACCUUGAUGUGAGGAGUUUAUAUUUGUUAACUUCUAAAAAAUGAUUUGAGAAGAAUUGAAGUAAAAUGACCCAUAAUCACUAGGGCCAUCCUAUAAGGAUAAAAGGCAAGAGCUGUGGAAAGCAGGGGAGAGAAUUGCACCAGAAUUCUAGGCUAAAGCUGGUUAUGAAAGCCAUGCAUAAAAUGUAGUCCUGAGUUGCCUGGCUGCUUCAGUUUUGAAGAAAACAGAAGCCUCCGCAGGCUCUUGUGUGGAGGUUUCCCAUUGUGCAAAGGCUUCGUUAGGCAGCUGAACCCAGCAGUUCCGUGCAAGACAGAUUGGACGGGGAAGGACUGAGGGUUCAUUAAGGAAGCCGUUGCAGGAGCCCAAACACGAAGUGAUGGAAACGAUGGCGAUGGGAUGGGAAUCAGGAAACAGGUAUGGAAGAUGAUUCGAAGGAACUCUAGAGGACUUGACAUGGAAUGCCUCCAGAUAAAGCAAAUGCAGACAUCAAAGAUGACUGAAGUUUCACAUCUGAGCAAUUACAGUAGUCAGGUGUCUGCUAUUGAAGUGCCAUGUAACAAGCACUCUCAUAAUCUCAGGGCCUUGCAACAAUAAACACUUAAUUUAUCGCUUACGGGUGUGCAGGUUGGCUAUGACUCUCUUGGGUGGCUGGAACCAGGCUUGUCUCCAAGCUGCCAGUUGUGUUCAGAUCUAUUCCAACUGUCUCCUCAUUCUGGAACCAGAGGCUAUUCGGGCAAAUUCACUGUGGGGCAGAUGGCGGAAGUGCAAGAGAGUUAGCCAAGCCAUGAAAACAUAUCUAAAGCCCCUGCUCACAACACCUCCAGUAAUGUUUCUAUUAGCCGAAGCACGUCACGUGGCUAAGUCCAAAGACAGUGGGGUGAGGCUGUAUGGGCCAAUUCUAUCACAUGGCAGGAGGAGUAAAGACGAAACAACAAUAACCCAACCUGCCACAACAAAUAGAAUACGAGUGAUGCGGCGGGCAUGGAAAUUAGGAGUGGAGCAGAGAAGAAUGGUGGGUUUCUUAAAGUGAGGCCACCUGUCCUGUGACAGCCAUCUGUCUGAUGCAGAGUUCUGGCACUGCAGUCGGGAUUUCUGGUUCCAGGUCUAACUUGGGAGCAUACUCAUUCUUCCUCUUGUUGCUGCUUCUUUGUCACAGAGGUUAAAAUUAGACCAUCAAGUGGACCUUUCCCCCUGCGUCUAAGUGUGCCAACCCUUUCCCUUCCCCCCACACACCAUGGUUAGGAACCUGCUGUGCAGUCACUCCUGAGAUCAGCUUUGCAACAGACAUUGGUGGAUGUGCCAUAAGAACAGUUCCCCAACCUGGGACCUCCUAUGCGAGGGAAAAUCUAGAAGGGAAUAUCCCCAGAUGGCACUACUGGUGAUGGGACUUCAGGAUACUUGAGGUCUCUCUGUGUAUUUUCCAAAAUUUCUAUAAUGAGCAUAUAUACAUCUUGUAAUUUCAAGGAUUCUUAAAAUGAUUUUUAACAGAUCAUAUCACUGGCUUGACUUCAUUUUGCCCCUCGUUUGCCGGUACAUAUCUAAAGAAAAAGUAUGUCUCUGAAGUGCUAGUCAGCACGGUGGACCAAGCCUGCCUUCCCGGGAGCAACACACGCUUGAGGCUAGUUCCCUCCUCCCAAUACUAACCGCUCAGACAUAGUUUGAGGGUUUCUUUUCUUUUCACUCCUGAACUUUCUUUGAGAGGUGAGAGGUGGGCGGGGGGGUGGGGGGGGAUUUUAGUUCGAAUACAAAAGAAUAAAUCAGAUUUUUCCUCUUGUUCCUCACGUGUUGAUGUUUGGGUUUUCCAAUCAAACUGUCUAUAAUGAAGUCAAGAAGGAAGCAAGCACCAGGGAGCCACCAGCCCGUGAAUGUUGCAAAUGCUCCCCAGCCCCUCCCACACUUAGCCACGCCCCCCUCCGUGACGCCUCUGGCAGAGGCAAAACCAGUGACCUGGAAAGACUGCUCUGCUGGGGUUCUCCUCACCAAACCCCCAUUCUCGCAGACCACAGAAGAGCAGGUUUUGAGUAAAAGGAGCAUGAGCUUUGAGUCAGGCUAGUCCUGACUCCUCUACAGCAUGAUCUAGUUUCUCACAGCUAAGCUUCCAUUUAACCUCCCCCACAGCCACGGCAUCCUCUUCCUCACCUCCCACGCACACCCUGACUGCUUCUUACUUACAUCUUCCUUGAGGGACACUAACCCACAGAUCCUCCACCAUCCACUUGUCAAGUCCAAAGUUCAGCCCCUAGUUUACGUUGGCGGUUGGUCGUAUGUGGAAUCUUCAGUUAUUCACAUUCUUCCAACCCUCCUUCCCUUGGUUUCUGUGAAAUCGUGCUCUCCUGGUUCUCCUGGGCGCUCUCUGAACAUUCGAAGUCCUGUUUCUUCCUCUCUCAGCCUUUCCUUGUUGCUCUCCUGGUGGCCGCCCUCUGCUUGCUGGUGUUCUCACCCCCACACUUUCUCAGUGGUCUGAUUCAUUCUUUGUUUCCACCACGAUUCAUAUGCUGAUAACUCCAGCCCAGACCUUUCCCUCUGAUUCAUAUUUCCUGGAGGAGCUGGUCAUCACAUGGAUGUCUCAUGAGCCUGAAACCCAGCAUGUCCAGAGCUGAAUUCAUCUCUCCAUUAAGGCACUUUGGUUACAAGCAACAGGGCCUGACUGAUUCUGUCUAGCCCGCGCACAGGUUAAAGGACAAUUAAUCCUUCCUUAACUGGAAGAAUUGCAAGAUGGUUCCUAGAAUCAAGGAAAAAAAUCACUGAACAACCUGCAGUCUGGUAGGCAAGGACCACGUUACAGCAUAGAUUCAAGUUCCUAAAAGUGAAUUUGACACGCCCAGCUUGGGUCACAGCUCCACUUCUUGAGUCUGUUCUCAGAGUAAAGGGAGACAAGAGAUGCGAAAGGUCCCAGAAAGACAAUAGCCACCCUGUGUCCCAAAUCUGUUUUCCCCCCUACAUUUUCCGUCUCAGUUGGUGAUUCUACUACUAUCUCUCUCUCUACCACUGAGACUGGGAAGGGGUCUCUCCCCCACUUACCCCACUCCCCUCCCUCUCAUGCCCCCCUCACAUCCAUCUUGUAUAGCAAAGACCAUCAACCAUUAAGUUCUAAGAGUUUGCCUUUAAAGUAGUUCUCCAAACAGUUGCCUCCGCUCCAUCACUUGGACCUCUGAACUCUGUUGGGGUCUUAUUAUCUCUUGCCUUGAUGACUGUUAAGCCUCCCAAAGAGUCUCUCUGUUCCCACUCUUGUCCACCUCAAAUUCUGCCUCCACAGAAGAGCCGGAGCAAUCGAUCAGAAACCCACAUCUGACCAUAUUACUCCCUGUUUGAGCUCUUUGCCUACAGGGUAAACUAUGGGACUUAGAGUACGUAUUUCUUGAUAUAAAAUUAAGUUCUGCCAGGGCCUGGCCCCUGCCUACAAUGCCCAGUCCAUAGUCCCUGCUCCGCAGCCUGUUUUAUCCUUGCUGAUGGCAGCCCCUCUGCCUGAGAGGCCACCAUUCUCCCUACCAUCGACCCGGGACCUGGCGAUCCCCAGCUCAUCUUUAGAACUCAGUUGAGCCCUCAGCCUCUCCCUCACAAACCUCCCUUAAGUCUCUCUGGGCAUUUCCCGUGGGGUUGAGGAUCCCUCCUGAGUGCUCCCAUAAUGCCUUAAACAUUUCGCUAUCACCGCACGUAAACCACUGUUGAUGCACCUCUGUCUCUGCACCUGCAUCUGCCAUCUAUAAAUUCUUGGAAAGCAGGAACAGGGCAAGGCGUACAGUCGUGGCUCCACAAAUUCGUUUUGAGUGGUCUUUGAACUUGGUAAAUCACAAACUCUCUGGGCUUCAGCUUUCUCAUUACAGAAAGGGGAUAACUCCACUUAUCCCAUGUUGUGAAAUUAAAUGGAAUAAAGCCAUUAAAAUGCCUUACGCAGUGGCAUAUAGGACCUGCUCAGUUAAAAGUCACUUCCCUCACCACCAUUCAUCCUCCCGCCACAAUUUUAAUUAAGAGGAAGAAGAUUUCUUAGUGUCCUUUGUUUAGCUGUAUGUCUUCCUAACUGGAGCAUAAUCUCUGUGAGAAAAUGGGGCACGUCUGUCUUGUUCAUUGCUAAACCUCUUACAUAUGGCAGGUGCUUAGUAAAUAUUUUAGGGUAAAUGAAUAAUUGCUAUGUAUGCCUAUUUGAUCAUUCAUUUGCACCUUCAAUUGAACCUAAUGCUCUUGUUUCAUUGCCCCAUUAUAUAAAUCACUGACUUCAAUUUGUUUAGCAUGCCUUGUUUCUUGUUGCAAACCAGCUGAUGCUCGGGGAAGAAUGGAGACUGGGUUCCUGCACAUGCCACCUCUUUCUAACACACACACACACACACACACACACACACACCAUGCUGCCCUAGGAACUGACAGGAAACCCCUGCUGACCCAACUCUAACAGCGUGGAGAACAUUUCAAUGAACUCGCCCCAGCACAAGCCCCAGCAGCAUUAAGACCUUAGGCGUGGGAAUCAGACCAGCAGGGCUUGAAUCCUGACUUCGUGACCAGCUAUGUGAAUUUGGGCCUCGUCUAUAAAAUGGAAAUUGUCAUACCAUUGGGGGUAGUGUUAGAAUUAAAUGUGCUAUGCUAUUUGCUUUGCAUUCAUUAAAUGUUAACUAAAAACCCUAUUAUGGCAAUGUCUAUAAGCUUUGCUCUACCACAGAUUUUUGGCCUAAUUACUCAUUCCAGCCUUCAGAAUCCUUUAAGAAUGGAUACUUCUACAACUCAGAAGAAAGAGAAUGAAACCAUGAAGGGAUCUAUGAAGGGACUGGAGGUAGUUUUUACUUACUUCCCCUUAGAUUAUCAUAUAUGAUUAUGAUGAAAGCCCAGUGAAAGGGUUACAGAAAUAAUAUUCUGCCUCUUUUAAAGAUAGAGAAACUGACACCCAAAGAGACUCAGUGACUUGUUCAAGGUCGCACUGGCAGUGAACAGCAGAGUCAACGAUGGCAUCCCCCUAACGAGCAGCCCCUCAAGCUAGUCUCUGUAAAGACAGCUGACACUGCAGCUCGAGGGAACACUGCAUGUGCCCACCUUGCCCUGCAGCAGUCUGGCUGCUGUAUGCUGCAUGACUGAACAGUGUGCAUUGUCCUAAACGGUAAGUAUGUGCUUCAUGUGCAACAAAGACUCUCUGAGCCACUUCCUCCAGCAGCUAUGCCUGUGAGCCAGGGAGUGGCGAGAGCUCGCAGCAGCUGGGUUGGCAUGCACCCUGCUCACUGCUGUUUAGUCGUGCAGAACACCGAGCACCUCUCCCUCCGGCUUCUCCUGGCAGGCAGCACUGUGUUCUCUCCAUCGGCCUCCAGUGCUUUUGCUGUGGUCAGGGAGAGUGAGCAGAACCCUCGCAAGGUUUUGGUUACUGGAGGUGGACAUUUUGUGAUGAGAAGCCCGUCUUUAAAAGCAUGCUGUGCAUUAGCAUCCUCUCAUUUGAAGAGAGCUAUUUUUGUCUUCCAUCUUAGAGACUGUUCCAAAAUAUGGGAGGCAGGGACCAGAAGGCAAACCAAAAGAAGCCAAUGUCUCCAGCUCAGAAGAGAACAAAUUACUGCCAUCCCCUCAAUAACUGUAACAACAUCAAUUGCCACGGCACCGAUAAAGAACAGGAGUCAGAGUCAGCUGCACCGUGGUCUCUUUCUGUGGGAUUUCUCUCCUUACCCUUCAGGAACAGGGUUUGUUGCCAUGGUUACUAGCAAACCACAUGACAGCCUCGCUACCUAGAAGUGUAGGAGAACAGCCCAUCAGCCUGUGAUGGGGGAGAUGCCUCCCUCCCAAGCUUGGUCGCUUUUCCUUCGCAGACCUGCGUGGCCCCGGCAUCUCCCUCAUUUCCUAUAUCCCCAGCUCUGAGGUGCAGGGCCGGCCAUUCUUUGGGCACCAGAACGUUGCUUUUGUGAUGAAAGCAACACAAGUUUUCCUCAAGGGCCUCUCCCUCUAGUUUCAGGAGCCCCUCUUCCCCUCCCUAGCCCCUUCCUUCCCGGACCCCUCUGACACACACACACACACACACACACACACACACACAAGAGCUGUAAUUAAAUACAGCACUGAGUUGAGUGGGAAGCAGUGGAGCACACAGCCUACACCACUUGAAUAAGCUCUUUUUUAAAACUCAAGGAUGGCAUGAGUCAGGGAUUUUGAAGCUGUGGUACAGUCAGGAUACCAGUGCCUCAAGGGGAUGGAGGGAAGGAGGGGAGGAGGGAGCACCGGUUCUACCGGUUCCUAAAGAGACCAGGUGGGGCCUGGUUUUCCGGGCACAACCUUCAGGGGGUCUGUAGACCCUCUGACUGCCUCAGGGUCAUGGAACUGGGUUCACUCUGACAACCUCUGAUAUGGUACAGUAGACAUAACCACCCCCGCCCCAGCCAACGGCAUUGCUUUCUGCGAAGAGAAAGUCAGCGCCUGGAGAGAGCUCUCAAACAACAAAGUUCUCCACCUCCCUACCUCCCCAUCUCCCCACCUCCCUCGACACCUUCCCGGUGGAACCAGAUGGCAUUAGUGGGUUAGCCCAAGUCUGGAGCUCUGGAAGUUGGCUGGGGAGUGGGUGGACCUCAGCAGCAGCAGCCUGGGCUAGAAUUGCACAUCCUUUUUUCUGACAAUUACAGAUUGCCUACUUCUCGGGUUCAGAUCACAUCUCUUCUUGUCACUCCCAUCAGAUUUUCUGGUCUUCUUUCCCAUUGCAAAAGCAAAGUCAGGAUGACACAUCAGCAGGCAACAGAAGGUAAGGCCUGGGAGGGACUCCACCCUGGCUGUACUAGGUGGUUUGGAGGACUCGCCUCAGGGCCCCUGCCUCAAGGAACAGAGUGUAGUGGUGGGGGUUGUGGGAUGUGGGGAGGGACUUGGGAGAAGCAGCGGACUCACAAAUGUAGCUAACCUGUGGGCCCCCCUGGGCAAGGGCCGAGGAGGCUAGCAGUCUCUAAAAUGAAGGGCCCAGAGGUGCACGGCCAGGGCGCGUGAGACUCUACCCAGUGGGGUACAGAAAACAUUCAAAAUUCCAUAUAUAGUUGUUUGAUCUCUUCCUUUUUUAUAUCUAUUUUGGAACAUGUAUUAUAAUGUAUAGUAUGUAGUUAUAUCAAGUAAGAUCAGAUUCAGCUGAGAUUAAGAAAGAUGAGAUUAGGCAAAACAACACUUUCACCAAGAGAGAACUUGACUUCUUUCUCUUGUACAUGCGGUCUGGGGGCAAGCUGCCCAGUGCUGGUAAGGCGUAGUUUCUAAAAUGUGGCUACCACUUCCUUGUCAAGGCUAUUGCUCAUGGUCAAGGCUUCUUGUCUACCGUGGGCAGCAGGAGGCAGAAAGAAGAAAAGAACUGCAUGCCUCACCCACUAAGGACACCUCCUGGGAACUGCACCCUACGCUUCUGACAAUUCAUUGGCUAGAAUCUGUUCAUAUGGCCUCAUAUAGUCUACUCUGCACGUCAUGUGCCCACUGGGGAAUGCUGCACUAGGGAAGUAGGAAGGGACGAACACUGGGGUGCCACUAGCAGUCUUUACCACAGUACUACAGCAGUAGACUGGCAUAUGUGUUGUUAGUACUCACAAAAUAAUAAAGGUACUUCUUGGGGGGCAUAGUCAAAAUUGGUUUCUAUGUGGUGGAGUUCAAUGACUAUUGCUAUGGAUUGUAGUACCCAACAAAUACAUGUAAUUGAUUGAAAGAAGGAGUAAGGGAUUUUUUUUUAACCACCUGGCAUCUCUUCACUCUUCUCCAGGGCAGCACUAUGGAGAAUGUUGUGUGAGGACUCAUUCCUCAUCCACUCUCAGCCACGUAGUUGUGAGUGGCCCUGAUUAGCCUCAGCAAACCAACUUCUUCCAUCCCUUGGCCACUGGGCUUGGUGCCGGUUACUGAGAGUCAGGACCGAGACUUUUAUUCGGCUCUCAGAAGGGAGACCCUGGACACGAAGCACGUGAAGUGCGGAGCUGCCCAAACCCCCUUAUAACCACGAUGGGAGAGUUUGUCUGGGAAUAUGGCCAACGUUCAGAGGAGAGGGGAGCCAUGUGGAGAAAGGACCAGGUCCUGGUGAUAUUAUUUUUCCUCCUGUUGCUACUUCUGAACAGCUGCAUCUGAACUCGAACACAGCGUGCGCUGGGAUCAGUAGCCAUCUUGGACCCGAUGAUGAGGUCAACCCCCUAGAAGAAACAGAGCAACUAGCAGGAAGGAGCCCAGGACUGGAUGACCUCCUGCAGCAGAGCCACAGAACCUGGCCUGUGUCCAUGUGAAAGAGAAUCAAUUUUAAUCUCAUUAAGGUCACUAUCUAUUUAAGAGUCUUUGUCUUAGUAACCAGCCUAUAACCUAACUAGUACACACGCAUUUUCUUGUUUAUUUCUACUUAUCUUAUUUAAUUAUCCAAGAAAGUGAGUGCAGAACAAAGAUUUGAACCCAAGACUGCCUGACUCAGGAGCCCAUGCUGCUGGCCACGCGUUCAACACUCAGCUCCUGUGUCCCCUGGGCUGAAUCUCUUACUACGUGCAGAGUGGAGUCUCGAUGCUUUACACAGUUCUCUCAUUGCCUCUUUGCAUUUUCUCCAUCAUUUCUGGCUGCAAGCAUACCAUCUAUUUUGCCAAGGACCUUCUUACAAACGAAGCCUGUGAAACUGAAGGUGGAACUUCAAGCAAGCUCUGGCACAGUGGGGACCACACCUGAGGCGCACAGACCCGGCACAGCCUCAGGACUAGGUAAUAAGUCAGCAGAGGCUAGAGCAGAGCUCCAGUCUCCCUUCCCCAGGGGCCAACCCGAUGCACCUACAGCAUCCUGCAGUUCGCUGUGUUACUCCGGAACCAAGGCUGUGUUUCAAGGAAUUGCAAGGCACUUAUUCACAAGGCUAGUCUUAUCUUCUGGGCAGAUGGGAGGAACCUGUGUUUGUCACAGGAGCAGAUAGAAAGAUUCGAACUACGUCAGUGACAAACCCUUUUCUGCAGUUCAAAGUCCUCUGAACCUGUGGGUUCUCUGAUAAAGUGGUGUGUGUGUGUGUGUGUGUGUGCGUGCACGCACACGUAUGUGCAUACAAGACAGGAGAAACAGCACAGGCUCCAUACUCUACGUCACUGACUCUAACAGAUAUGAUUAUUUUAUGUAUUCACGUCUUCAAGUCUGGCCUUAAAUGGCAACAUAAGCAGAAAGAUGCCAAGAAGAGUAAUGGAACAAGAGCUUAAUUAUAGCGGCCUUUGUCCAACUAACACGCCAAUAAUUUGCCUCAUUGAAUGAUUCAGCAGUUAUCCUGCCAGGCUCCCAAAGAAAGCCCCUAUCUGAGAUGACGUAAUCUCUCUCCACACCCACUGCCACACAUUUACCGUCCCUCCCCAGAGCCACAGUUCCAUCUGUGGCACCUUCAGUUGCCAUCUGCAUGGUGACAAAUAUGUAUUUCAUCAUUUAAAUGGUAUUACAAUGCACAAUGUUGCUAAUCAAGCCCUCCACGUUUAAAAAAUUCAAUAAAAAAGUUAAGACAG